AUGCUAGUCCUUGCCGCGCGGUUUCCAACACAAGGAUGGAUCAGCGUGGAUGAGGUGUUGACACUGAGCUGCAAACAAAGGAAAGAGUGGCCGUUAGCUGAGUACACUCUGGGGAGGGGAAUCCGCUCCCUCCAGAGGCAGCGCGGGACGGCUCUGUCAGUAAGACCUUCAUUUUGGACCAGAGUCUGUCUCUCUGAAGCUUCUGACCUUUGGUCUUGUAUUUACUUCUGGGGACCUUGUAGAACAAGCCAACUCCUUCUUGUGACAGCAGCGGUGUCCUUCAAGUUUCCUCUCCUGCAGGACUGUUUCUACUGUGGGCGUGCUUCAUUGCCAUGGCGCUUGUGACAAUGACAGAGUUGCUGACGAGCCUGGAGUGGACUGAUUUGAGCUGGUUCUUGGCCCAUUCAUCAUUUGUUUAACAGGUGUUUGUGAAGCACCUGCUCUGUGUGGAACACUGCACACAGUUGGCUGCCGGCUCAG
rnacentral:lncRNA from 1 species